rnacentral:rRNA from 1 species
GACGGAAGGUGCAAGCGUUGUUCGGAAUUACUGGGCGUAAAGGGCGCGUAGGCGGUCUUCUAAGUCUUGUGUGAAAUCCCUCGGCUCAACUGAGGAACCGCACGGGAUACUGGAAGACUUGAGUUCGGGAGAGGGAAGCGGAAUUCCGGGUGUAGCGGUGAAAUGCGUAGAUAUCCGGAGGAACACCGGUGGCGAAGGCGGCUUCCUGGACCGAUCACUGACGCUGAGGCGCGAAAGCUAGGGGAGCAAACGGG